AUUGAACGCUGGCGGCAGGCCUAACACAUGCAAGUCGAACGAGUGGCGGACGGGUGAAUAAUGUCUGGGAAACUGCCUGAUGGAGGGGGAUAACUACUGGAAACGGUAGCUAAUACCGCAUACCAUCAGAUCUGCCCAAAUGGGACUAGCUAGUAGGUGGGGGAACGGCUCACCUAGGCGACGAUCCCUAGCUGGUCUGAGAGGAUGACCAGCCACACUGGAACUGAGACACGGUCCAGAAUGCUAAGGGAGGCAGCAGUGGGGAAUAUUGAGCAAUGGGCGAAAGCCUGAUGCAGCAAUGCCGCGUGUAUGAAGAAGGCCUUCGGGUUGUAAAGUACGUUCAGCGGGGAGGCGUGACCAGCAGAAGAAGCACCGGCUAACUCCGUGCCAGCAGCCGCGGUAAUUC
rnacentral:rRNA from 1 species